rnacentral:rRNA from 1 species
GACGAACCAUGCGAACGUUGUUCGGAAUCACUGGGCUUAAAGGGCGCGUAGGCGGGCUCGCCAGUCUGUGGUGAAAGCCCCCGGCUUAACCGGGGAAGCGCCGUGGAUACUGCGAGUCUUGAGGAGGGUAGGGGCAUCUGGAACGCUGGGUGGAGCGGUGAAAUGCGUUGAUAUCCAGCGGAACUCCGGUGGCGAAGGCGAGGUGCUGGACCCUGUCUGACGCUGAGGCGCGAAAGCCAGGGGAGCAAACGGG